UACAGAGGUCUCAAGCGUUGUUCGGAUUCAUUGGGCGUAAAGGGUGCGUAGGUGGCGCCGUAAGUCGGGUGUGAAAUUUCGGAGCUUAACUCCGAAACUGCAUUCGAUACUGCGGUGCUUGAGGACUGGAGAGGAGACUGGAAUUUACGGUGUAGCAGUGAAAUGCGUAGAGAUCGUAAGGAAGACCAGUGGCGAAGGCGGGUCUCUGGACAGUUCCUGACACUGAGACACGAAGGCCAGGGGAGCAAACGGG
rnacentral:rRNA from 1 species